UACAGAGGUCCCAAGCGUUGUUCGGAUUCAUUGGGCGUAAAGGGUGCGUAGGCGGCGCGGUAAGUCGGGUGUGAAAUCUCGGGGCUUAACUCCGAAACUGCAUUCGAUACUGCCGUGCUUGAGGACUGGAGAGGAGACUGGAAUUUACGGUGUAGCGGUGAAAUGCGUAGAUAUCGUAAGGAAGACCAGUGGCGAAGGCGGGUCUCUGGACAGUUCCUGACGCUGAGGCACGACAGCGUGGGGAGCAAACAGG
rnacentral:rRNA from 1 species